GCUGCAGCAGGGAGGACCUGCCGGGCUCCAGUCCAAGCUGACCGUGCAAGAUUGCAUCCGUGGUUCUGGAAGGGGAAGUCCGGAAGCUUGUAGGACCAUCAUUCCUCUGCAUGAGGAGGAAAGCGUCUCAGAGCAUACAGCUACAGCAUCCUUGGAUUGUGCUGCACCUUCCAUUUGGCCUGAAGAGGGCGCUCUUUCCCUGGAGUCAGUAAAAUUGUUUUGUGGAUAAUUCCACAUUUUCUAUACGGUUGUAGGGAAAAUUGUCUAACCUGUCAUAGCUGAGCCCGCUCUAUACACAGAGGAUCCCGUUAUAUAGCUGACACCUGCCAGGAUCGGAGAUCUGUAGAUUCCCAGCAGAGCACAUGGAGAAAUUCAGGCGACCGUUAUCUCAUUACCCACUUUCUAAGCUCGGUGUAAGUGCAAAGGGGGAUGGAGGUUGGAUGAUGAACUUCAAGGGGCCAGUCACUUUUAGCUCCACAGGCUCUCAGCUUGGGCAGAGUCUUCAUCAGAUGAUGUCCUCUGUGGUAAGCCUCCUGAUGGCUUGCGGCUACGUCUUCUUCCUGCUUGCGCACCUCUUUCAGUCCUUUUGUGAGAUUGUGGCCUCGGUCCUGAGCUUCGCGCUGUCCGUGUGUCACAUAAUCUGGUUUAUCAUCAUUUACUCUCUGGUUAUCAUAGUCAGAAUCUGGAAUUUUCUAUUCGUUGACCCAGGCCUGGUUUACAUUGUAUUGGACAUAUGCUGUGUCGUCCUACGUGGAAUACUUU